GCUGGAAUGGCCGAGUCGUUAAGGCGAGUGAUUUGAACUUUCAAACAUAUCACUUGGUGUUUCACCGCGUAGGUUCAAAUCCUGCUUCCAGCG
rfam:Agaricus bisporus var. burnettii JB137-S8 unplaced genomic scaffold AGABI1scaffold_1, whole genome shotgun sequence.